GUGCCAGCAGCCGCGGUAAUACGAAGGAUGCGAGCGUUAUCCGGAUUUAUUGGGUUUAAAGGGUGCGUAGGCGGCCUUAUAAGUCAGUGGUGAAAUCCUAUCGCUUAACGAUAGACGUGCCAUUGAUACUGUAGGGCUUGAGUACAGAUGCCGUUGGCGGAAUGUGUCAUGUAGCGGUGAAAUGCAUAGAUAUGACACAGAACACCGAUUGCGAAGGCAGCUGACGAAACUGUAACUGACGCUGAUGCACGAAAGCGUGGGGAUCAAACAGGAUUAGAUACCCCCGUAGUCC
rnacentral:rRNA from 1 species